AAGGGGAGCAAUCCCUGAGUAAAGUGGCGACCGGGUGAGUAACACGUGACUAACCUACCUUCGAGUGGGGGAUAACCUCGGGAAACCGGGGCUAAUACCGCAUAAUGCCUUCGGGUUAAAGGAGCAAUUCGCUUGAAGAGGGGGUCGCGGCUGAUUAGCUAGUUGGCGGGGUAACGGCCCACCAAGGCGAUGAUCGGUAGCCGGCCUGAGAGGGCGCACGGCCACACUGGAACUGAAACACGGUCCAGACUCCUACGGGAGGCAGCAGUGGGGAAUUUUGCGCAAUGGGGGAAACCCUGACGCAGCAACGCCGCGUGGAGGAUGAAGUCCUUUGGG
rnacentral:rRNA from 1 species